GAUGAACGCUGGCGGCGUGCCUAAUACAUGCAAGUCGAGCGAACAGACGAGGAGCUUGCUCCUCUGACGUUAGCGGCGGACGGGUGAGUAACACGUGGAUAACCUACCUAUAAGACUGGGAUAACUUCGGGAAACCGGAGCUAAUACUGGAUAAUAUAUUGAACCGCAUGGUUCAAUAGUGAAAGACGGUUUUGCUGUCACUUAUAGAUGGAUCCGCGCCGCAUUAGCUAGUUGGUAAGGUAACGGCUUACCAAGGCAACGAUGCGUAGCCGACCUGAGAGGGUGAUCGGCCACACUGGAACUGAGACACGGUCCAGACUCCUACGGGAGGCAGCAGUAGGGAAUCUUCCGCAAUGGGCGAAAGCCUGACGCAGCAACGCCGCGUGAGUGAUGAAGGUCUUCGGAUCGUAAAACUCUGUUAUUAGGGAAGAACAAAUGUGUAAGUAACUAUGCACGUCUUGACGGUACCUAAUCAGAAAGCCACGGCUAACUACGUG
rnacentral:rRNA from 1 species